UCGCCAAGGACUCGGUCGAUUGAUCUAUCCGGAGAGAAAAGGAACCCUAGAAUCGGAGACAAGGGGGAGAGUGAUGGAGUUCUUGUUCUUUGAGUGGGAUAGAAGGGACGAAGACAGAGUCACCGCCGAUCCCAACGACAUGGGAGAAAGAGAGGGGAAGACGAAAGACUGCGAAGAAGCGGGACACGCGAAAAAAAAAUAAACUAAAGGAGGGCAAAAAGGUCAGGUGAUUAUGAAUAUUAUUUAUUUUUUUAAUUCCAACUACUAACUGCACUGAUGGACACGUGGAUUCGUCUCCACGUGGAUUCGGCGGAGACUCGGAGCGCAUCUUAAUCGGAUGCUCUCCAUAAAUGCGGUACAUGGUACGCGGAUCUGUACCGGCGUUUGGAUGCUCCUUAUCUUGAACAGAUGAAGAGGCUAAUAUUGCACGGAUCUGUAAAGGAUUCCAUCUUUCUGAUAUGAUUGAAGUGGAAGGCAAGGAGGUCUUAGAAGGGAGGAUUUUGGAUUUUGGUGGUAGGCAAGUCACAAGCACAAUCGCUGGGAAAGAGAUGGGAGGAUUUUUUUUCACUCUUACGGUGGCAUAAUUUACACCUAGCAAUCUCAUAGGAUGUGAGACAACAAGUAGGGAGAAUUAUUAAUGAAAGUAACAAAUAUUCCAAGCUCAACUUACAUAGGCAUAUGCAUAGGCCCUCUCAAAAUUAAAAAUUUAGAGGCAUGGUUUUGAUACGAUCAUAAGAAAUGUAAAUUAGUUGGAUUUCAAUUAUAUGUGAUUUAAGAUGCCUAAAUUAAUAUAAUGGCUUCAGCUCUCAGCUUGCAUAGGUUAUGAUACAUUUUAAUGUACUAGCUUUUUCCAUUCAAACAUUAUACAGUAAUUUAAAUCUUGAUUUUGAAAUCCUUAUUGUGAUAGAUAGAUUUGCUCUUACAUUUGAUUAUCAGCAUCGUGUUAUUAGCAAGGGGUAUCUAAAUUAUAAUUAUAGAUGCAUGUUUGCUUAGAUUCUGUUAGGGAAUUAAACAUAAAAAAUCUAGAUGUACGAUGGACGCUCCUAAGUAGAGAAAUCACAAAAGGAUGGUAGAAGAAAUCAAUGAGUCAAUGACAACAUAAUUUUGAGAUCUGGAAGGUGAGGCUUUGAAUGACAACUAUGUGAAAUUGCAAGAAAUUUUGAUGCAUAUCACGCAUUGCAUGUUGGAGCCGGGCUCAGACGAACUAAUGUUUUAUACCAAGUGAGAUUAUCAAAAUUUUGCAGGUCUCAAGUGGUUGUUGGUUGCCUAUUUACAUAAUCAUCUAGUCAUUUUCCAACUCUUUAAGAUUGUCUUGUCAUCAUAUUAUUUGCCAUUACUACCAACUGCAAGCUCAAUUAUACGGCUUAUUUCAAAUAUUAAAAGAGGAAAAUUAAAUUUGCCCAAAACUUGAACUCACAUUGCAUCCUUCUAGAGUGGUUCGGUAUUAGAUUCAGAUAAGGACCACACAUGGUUUCCUAUCAAGUAUAGGUGGAUUUCACUCGGUUGUAUGUAGAGGUUUAGCUUUUCUCAUAAUA